AUUGAACGCUGGCGGCAGGCCUAACACAUGCAAGUCGAACGGUAACAGGAAGAAGCUUGCUUCUUUGCUGACGAGUGGCGGACGGGUGAGUAAUGUCUGGGAAACUGCCUGAUGGAGGGGGAUAACUACUGGAAACGGUAGCUAAUACCGCAUAACGUCGCAAGACCAAAGAGGGGGACCUUCGGGCCUCUUGCCAUCGGAUGUGCCCAGAUGGGAUUAGCUAGUAGGUGGGGUAACGGCUCACCUAGGCGACGAUCCCUAGCUGGUCUGAGGGGAUGACCAGCCACACUGGAACUGAGACACGGUCCAGACUCCUACGGGAGGCAGCAGUGGGGAAUAUUGCACAAAGGGCGCAAGCCUGAUGCAGCCAUGCCGCGUGUAUGAAGAAGGCCUUCGGGUUGUAAAGUACUUUCAGCGGGGAGGAAGGGAGUAAAGUUAAUACCUUUACUCAUUGACGUUACCCGCAGAAGAAGCACCGGCUAACUCCGUG
rnacentral:rRNA from 1 species